AUUGAACGCUGGCGGCAGGCCUAACACAUGCCAGUCGAGCGGAUGAAGGGAGCUUGCUCCUGGAUUCAGCGGCGGACGGGUGAGUAAUGCCUAGGAAUCUGCCUGGUAGUGGGGGAUAACGUCCGGAAACGGGCGCUAAUACCGCAUACGUCCUGAGGGAGAAAGUGGGGGAUCUUCGGACCUCACGCUAUCAGAUGAGCCUAGGUCGGAUUAGCUAGUUGGUGGGGUAAAGGCCUACCAAGGCGACGAUCCGUAACUGGUCUGAGAGGAUGAUCAGUCACACUGGAACUGAGACACGGUCCAGACUCCUACGGGAGGCAGCAGUGGGGAAUAUUGGACAAUGGGCGAAAGCCUGAUCCAGCCAUGCCGCGUGUGUGAAGAAGGUCUUCGGAUUGUAAAGCACUUUAAGUUGGGAGGAAGGGCAGUAAGUUAAUACCUUGCUGCUUUGACGUUACCAACAGAAUAAGCACCGGCUAACUUCGUG
rnacentral:rRNA from 1 species